UCAGAAGACCAGGCCACACUGGACCUGCCUUCCUGUGGAGUCCGAGGAGUUCAAGGUUGAGCAGGGACUGACACCCCCAUACCCCACACACACAUUCAGCAGGGCAUUGGCCUCUCAUAGCCCUUGCCAGAGGCACUAACCUUAUCUUCCUACUUGGUGCUCAAAGGCUCCGCACAGGAUCCAAGCAGCGUUCCCGUAUCGCCGGCAUCUGCUUUGUGAAACCCCGCAUCUUUAGCAGCCCUGUUGACCUCAUUUGCUGCCUGCGCUGAUGGACACGGGAGAAAUGGGGAAGGAGUGGAGCAUUGUGGAGCACCGUGGAGCACCGCAGCAGACGGUAAGAGACAGUUCUGCAGGGGUGAGCCCACCUCGUGAUGGUCGGUGGUGGGGGUAGGAGGAAAGGGCAGUCCCACAUGCCUGGUCUUGUGCAAGGGGAGAUGGCAGUGG